UGACUAGCCUGUAAACGCGGCACUUUUUCAAACUGUCGCCUGGGAUGUAUUCUUCAUUUACAUCGAUGAGAUACAGGUUCUUUUGAGUACCGCUGCCACCAUGUUUCAAUAUGCUUUGUGUUGUAGUCAUGACAGACAAAGAUAUAUAGUUAAGCAAACUUUACUAGGCAUGUUGUCGACCAGCACAUUAAUAAAGUAAGUAACAACCGGUUUCCGUUUCCUGUGUAACAUCAAUAUGAGUAACAUCAAUAUUGCUACAUCUGUAAUAGAAUACAAGUGUUAAAAAAACAAAUAUAGACAUUAAUAAAUGCAUUUCUGUCGCUUCCAAAAUAUUUUUUACAAUGGUGGGUGAGUGCCAAGAUGGAGGCACAGUGGCUUCAACACAACAAGCCUAUCAGUCCUCUAGUGUAUAUAUAAAUCGUUGGGUGAAACAUCUGGUUCAUUGUUCUAUCCGUGUUGUUAAUGCACAGAUUAUCCACUAUAUAGUCUACCACAGUAAGAGUCAUAAUAGUCAUAAUACCCAUAAAACCUAUCGUUCAAACAUGUAAACGGUUUCAAUAAUUUUUCCACCAUUCUUUUUCCCAUAGGGGAUUUUAGAACCACUUCACAUGUAUGUCAUCUAGGCUUACCCUGGCGUGAUGUUUUGCUAAUCGUGUAAAUCUCUCUCGGACAAGGUCACUUAUCAAUAUCAUACAGAACUACACAUCCUGUCGCAAGCUUUGGCAUCAUCACUCAAGCCAGCGUUUCAGAGUAGGAAAAACAUCCACAUUUCUCCAUGUAAAUUCAUAUCGACAAGUAGCAAGUAACCUAGCAAGUAAAGUAAAAUAGAAUAAGUAGUAGAUAUUAAAGCUUUUUUGUAGUUUCUCAAUUAUAUAAUUGACAUUGUGUAUUUAUCGUGUGUAUUGUUGUUCAGCAUUUUUCAAAUUACCUACCUUAGCAUUUUUUUAUUACUAGUGUAACAGUGUAGGUUCCGUCCCUCUCUUCGCCCCAACCCGGGCUCGAACCAGGGACCCUUGCACACAUCAACAACUGACACCCCACGAAGCAUCGUUACUCAUCGCGCCACAAAAGCUGCGGCCCCCUGAUUGAAACGCUAUUAGCGCGCACCACCGCUAACUAACUAGCCAUUUCACAUCGGUUACACUAGGAUUUGUUUAAUUACCCUGGCCUAUAAAGCUAGCUAGCUAACCUUAGGUAUCUCUGUCGAUCAGAAGCAAGGAUGAUUCUGUGCUAUGUACCGGAUUUUAUCCACUACUCUGAUAAGCACACAUGCAUUUUAUCGUUUUCCAACCUCUGUAAGCGAGAAGCGUCGCUGGAGCCGUGUGAUAUGGUAAGCCCUGUUUUUUAGCUUAUAACAAACUAUUUUGGGUAAUAAGACAAAGAUCUGUGGUUAGCUAGGUGCUAAUGAAAAUUAGCUAAGUUAGAUAACCACCGACUGUAAAGUGUAUAAGGCAUUUUACCUUCCUUACAAGUGUAACAGUUUAGCUUCCGUCCCUCUCCUCGCCCCUACCUGGGUUCUAACCAGGGACCCUCUGCACACAUCAACAACAGCCACCCUCGAAGCAUCAUUACCCAUCGCUCCACAAAAGCCGCGGCUCUUGCAGAGCAAGGGGAACAACUACUUCAAGGUCUCAGAGCGAGUGACGUCACCGAUUGAAACGCUAUUAGCGCGCACCCCGCUAUCUAGCUAGCCAUUUCACAUCAGUUACACAAGUAAAAAGAAAACAAGCAUAAGCUAGCAUAAUGACUGUUGUGACCUUUUAUUAUUGUCCUUUGUGAGCUAGCCAGCUAGUUAACCUUAGCUCAUAAUUCGUGUAGUCAUACUUUUCAACGUGGUGACAUGCAAGCUAACGUUAGCCCACCAGGGCAGGGAUAUUUGGCUAUCUAGCUAGUUAACGUUAACUCACCGUUCAUGUAGUCAAGACUUUUCCAAGUGGUGACAUGCUAGUUAACGUUAGCACGGACCAGGGCAAGGAUAGUUAACUAGCCUGUCACCACAUAGUAAUGUCUGACUACAUGAACGGUGAGCUAAUGUUAACUAGCUAGCUAGCUAAAUAUCACCUGGUGGGUUAACGUAAACUCACUCACUUUUGUACACCGCCUUGGUCCGUACAAUUGACCUUAUUUUAUCGCCCCAAAAACGUAAUACUUCCAGAUCAACUGUAAUAUCAAUACCAUUGUAAAGUACAAUUUCUCCCCUUUCCAACAAAAUUAAUGACAUGAGAUCCACGCUGCCCGUUUCUGCAUAAUUCAAGAAGGCAAUGAACUCCUUCGGGUCUUUUUAAAAAUGGUGGGUGGGGAAGCGAAACUAAUGCGUGAUAGCGAGAAGGCGAGAUGUAUGGGAAACCUGCUUUUUUUCACUCGAUCUUAUCACCUUAUCGCCUCUAAAAUGUAAAUAAAAAACUAUUAAGAGUUUAUAUAAUGUGUCAUUACAUACCUAUUUGAAGGUUUGUGUCGAAUUUGAAUCGGGUUUUUAGGGCGGUGCUAAAGUGAUCUUCAGAAGUAAACAGCGGCUUUGAGAGUCAUGAUCGCUUACAGUGAUGACGCAAAAAAUGACUAGGUAUCCCCCUUACCCCCGUCACUGUCCAUUUCUUGUUUUUAAACGAUGAGAGAAGUGCUACACCUGGUGGAGAGAGAUUGUAAGACAGAAAUAGUUGCUUUAUGCGUGCUGUACGUUACGAUGUAAUGGAGGGUCAGAUUUUUCUACUUUUCUCCAAUACUAUAGAGCAAUUACCAUGUCGAUCAACGCUUGAAUAGAAACGUAGUUCACACCCCAGAUGUUGAAGUCAACACAGUCGCUACAGUCCCAGUAGCCUCAUUUGAAUGUCGCGGUUGCGCACAUUUGUACGGAAUGGGGUGAGUUUACGUUAGUUAGUUAGGCACAUUGGUUGGCUACCUAGCUACAUUAUCUAACGUUACACCGUAUCUCACCGUCGUGUAGUCAGACUUUCCUGACAGGCGGUGACAUGCUAGCAGGUGUGCCAAACUUGAGCAAUUAGCGCUAGCUAACAUUAAAUAUCCCUGCCCUGGUGGACUAGCUAGCAUGUUAAAACAAAACUUAGGGUCUGGGGAAAAGUCUGACUACAUGAACGAUGUGCUAACGUAGCUAGCUAGCUAAUGUUAAAUAUCCAUGCUCUGGUGGGCUAACUACAUGUCACCAUGUGGAAAACAAUACAAAUUGUGAGCUAACGUUAACUAGUUAGCUAAUUAAAUAUUUAUGAAUUUGUGGAUAUAGCUGUUCAGUAUGUUUGUGUAUGGUUCUCAUGAUUUAGGGUCGGGUGUUGAGGGACCACUUGUCACGUUGUCCAAGCCCAACAGGAGAGCAUCCCUCAAGCCAUCUGGUACAUGGACAUUGUGUGCCAGUAUGAUCCGAGCGCAAGAGUCCAGUUGUAGUCUACAGCAGAUUGAGCAUGUGGAAGGACAGAUCAGUAACUCAUCAAAUGAGAAACAUUAUUGUGUAAAACAUUGAAUUUGUAGAUUUUGAGAUUUGUCUCCCUUUUUUCCCGUUUUAGACAUUUGAUUUUUGUAUUUUUUUUCCCCCUUAUUUUACCAGGUAAGUUGACUGAGAACACAUGAGGCGUGACACACGGAACAUCUUCAGGCUCCCUCCAUGAGAAGCAUUGCAUGAUGUUCAAAGCCACCCCCGGCAAGGAUAUCUGUUGGAAAUGAUGGCUCUCCCAUCUUUAGAUGUACUCUAUACAACUCUGUGUCCUAUCCAUCCAGCUCUACUUACUUCUUAUUAGGAGUUCAAUGAAAACAUUGAACUUCCAGGUGUAGCAUGGUUCAUUCUGAGUUGUGUACUUUUAAUGAGGACACUGCCACAACUGGAAGUCUGCUGGUUGGAUUAUUUUAAUGAGGACACUGCCACAACUGGAGGUCUGCUGGUUGGAUUAUUUUAAUGAGGACACUGCCACAACUGGAGGUCUGCUGGUUGGAUUCUUUUAAUUAGGACACUGCCACACCUGGAGGUCUGCUGGUUGGAUUCUUUUAAUUAGGACACUGCCACAACUGGAGGUCUGCUGGUUGGAUUAUUUUAAUGAGGACACUGCCACAACUGGAGGUCUGCUGGUUGGAUUAUUUUAAUGAGGACACUGCCACAACUGGAGGUCUGCUGGUUGGAUUCUUUUAAUUAGGACACUGCCACACCUGGAGGUCUGCUGGUUGGAUUCUUUUAAUUAGGACACUGCCACAACUGGAGGUCUGCUGGUUGGAUUAUUUUAAUGAGGACACUGCCACAACUGGAGGUCUGCUGGUUGGAUUCUUUUAAUGAGGACACUGCCACAACUGGAGGUCUGUUGGUUGGAUUCUUUUAAUGAGGACACUGCCACAACUGGAGGUCUGCUGGUUGGAUUCUUUUAAUGAGGACACUGCCACAACUGGAGGUCUGUUGGUUGGAUUCUUUUAAUGAGGACACUGCCACAACUGGAGGUCUGUUGGUUGGAUUAUUUUUAUUUGCCCUGCACACGAAGAAACAACACACAAUAUUUUAGCCCUUGGCGCAGUCACAGCUCUCAGGCACCUGCGCAAGCACAUGGACACUCACUCAAACACUGUCCCAAGUACUCACAAGUUACAAUAGGUACCCUAGUUAGCGAGCUCGGUGAAACUUGUUACCAUAAAUCUUUAUAUUUUCCACAUUGUAACAAACGUAUGGUAGCGUAACAGCACAUUGUGUAACAUUACCACGGUUUUAUAUUGAACAAUAGCGGAGCCAAGGACAACAUACCUCGCUAAGCCGAAGGUCAGGCAAAAGAGAACAAUAAGGAGGUACGGAAAUACAGAUAACCCUCGAUGGGCCAAACCAAAAUAUACAAAACUUUUACAAUCACUUGUAUGUACAAUAUUGAUAUGAAAAACUGUUUGUACACCAAAAAAUAACAUUAGCUAUGCAGCUGUAAUUAAAUAUAAAAAAACACACAGAAUUAUUUUUAUUAUUAUCAAAUGAUUAACAUCCCCUCUUGACCUGGCCUAUUUGAAUUGGUCCUUGUGUGCAACUUGGUGCAUAAUCUAGGGGAACAACAUCACACUGCUACACAGGCACCUCCACCAUGGCACAGUUCCAGAAUGUUCUCACUGAGGUGCAUCUUGUGGGCUCAAUGUUUUUCCCAUACAAACCACAGAAACGGUUUUGUUCCACGAAUGCAUCUGUUGUACAUGACUAAUCAAAUUACCUGUGACGUCAGUUAGACACGUCAGUCCCUUUCAGAUGAUUCCUCAACCACUGUUGCUCCUCCUUGGUGAUUUUACGGCUCAGAGUGUUUUAACUUUGCUCUUGAGAAUUUUUAUCAUAAGUACAGUCGUAUAGCUCAUUGCAAGACUUCACCUCUUUUGGACAAAUAGUACCCUUGACUGUCCUGAUCAUCUAGUUAAGCAUUCCAGAUAAAUCCUCCAUCCCAGCAGGAAUGUCCCAUCCACAUAAUGAUAUAUGAUUUUCCAGCUCAGCAUUCUUAGGUGUUAUUCUGUGUUCUAUGAAAAUGGAGUGAGUCAACUCAUUGUCCAGUGAGUGAGGCUUGCCUACAUAGUGCUUAGUUAGUAGCCUAGUUGUGGUUCACUUCCACUAGAAGGUCCUUGUUAUUCCCACCAGGUGUUUCUUCAGGCUGUUGGGGAUUGCCUCAACAUUUUUCCCACACAAACCACAAAAACAGUUUUGCUCCACUGAGUGCAUCUGUUGAACAGGAUUUUUUCACCUGACUUUGAAAAUACAAAUGGGAAGGAUCAUACAAAUCAAGACUAUGAAUGCAUUUAGCUCUAUGACAGUGGUUCCCAACCAGAGGUACUAGGAUCCCUGAAGGUACUUGGCCUAUCCACAGGGGGUACUUAAGAAGACUCAUGAGGCCAUAGCCCUACUGGUAAAAUGCAUAUGAGGGGGUACCCUGGGCAGAGCAGAAUUCAGUUGGUCGUACAGUACAGUAACCGAAAAAGGUUGGGAACUACUGCUCUAUGACAGAGCACUCCUAAAAAGUAAAUACUGUGUAUUGGUAGAUUUGUCUCUGGAUGUCUAAAUAAUAAAUUCAAACAUUUCUGAAUGUGAAUAUAUGUCAA